rnacentral:rRNA from 1 species
GACGAACCGUCCAAACGUUAUUCGGAAUUACUGGGCUUAAAGGGUGCGUAGGCGGCGCGGUAAGUCGGGUGUGAAAUCUCGGAGCUUAACUCCGAAACUGCAUUCGAUACUGCCGUGCUUGAGGACUGGAGAGGAGACUGGAAUUUACGGUGUAGCGGUGAAAUGCGUAGAUAUCGUAAGGAAGACCAGUGGCGAAGGCGGGUCUCUGGACAGUUCCUGACGCUGAGGCACGAAGGUCAGGGGAGCAAACGGG